AGAAUUGAGGAACAGAGGAUCAGGAGCUUAAAUAACUCGCUUAACAUAAAACAUGGAGUCAACUAAGGCUUCCAUUUAACUAGGCUAUCAAACACAAAGCCCUCAUUCUUACAAUACUCUUCUAAUGAUAGUUCCGUCUUUGUGAACAUUCCAGAGAUGGGAUUUCACCGUGUUGCCUGUGGUGGGUGACUUGACUGCACAUCUUCUUUUCUGGAUGAGGAAACAGGGGAUUAAAAAUUUGGGCUUUGACCGAGUGUGGUGGCUCACGCCUGUAAUCCCAGCAAUUUGGGAGGCCGGAGGCAGGCAGAUCACUUGAAGUUAGGAGUUCAAGACCAGCCUAGUCAAUACGGAUCUCUACAUACAGUGUGAAAAAAAUAAGAGAAGAAAUGGAAGCCUAGAGGCAAGGAAAUGACAGAAGAAACUGUAGUGUUAAUCCAGAUAAGACAUUGAAGAGCUAAACCAGGAUUUUGGUAAGACAGAUGGAGAGAUGUGGAUGGAUCUGAAUGCUACCAAGAAGGUCAAAUUCAACGGUGCUUACAGGCAUACCUUGGAAACAUUGCAGAUUUAGUUCUAGAACACCACAGUAAAGCAAAUAUUGCAAGAAAAUGAAUCACAUGAAUUUUGGGUUUCCCAGCACACAUAAAAGUUAUGUUUACACUGU